UUAUGGUUCAAAGAAACCUUACAAGAAGUGUGAAAAGUACACUCCUAAGCCUCCGACUCAUCCGUACAAGCCACCACCGUACUACUAUAAGUCUCCACCUCCUCCGGCUCCCACUUACGUUUACAAGUCACCACCUCCACCAUCACCAACUUAUGUUUACAAGUCACCUCCACCUCCUGUGUACUACUACAAGUCUCCACCACCACCAAAGCAUGUGGAACAACCUCCAUACUACUAUAAGUCUCCACCUCCACCGGCUCCCACUUAUGUUUACAAGUCACCACCUCCACCAUCGCCGACUUAUGUUUACAAGUCACCUCCACCACCUGUGUACUACUACAAAUCACCACCACCACCCACUUAUGUCUACAAGUCUCCACCACCACCAAAGCAUGUAGAGCAGCCCCCGUACUACUACAAAUCUCCUCCACCACCAUCGCCAUCUCCUCCUCCACCAUACUAUUACAAGUCCCCACCACCACCAGUUCACUCUCCACCACCACCAUACUACUACAAGUCCCCACCACCACCAAAACAUGUGGAGCAACCUCCAUACUACUACAAAUCUCCUCCUCCACCAUCGCCAUCUCCUCCACCACCAUACUACUACAAAUCCCCACCACCACCAAAACAUGUAGAGGAGCCCCCAUACUACUACAAAUCUCCUCCACCACCAUCACCAUCUCCUCCUCCACCAUACUACUACAAGUCCCCACCACCACCAAAACAUGUGGAGCAACCUCCAUACUACUACAAAUCACCCCCACCACCAUCGCCAUCUCCUCCUCCACCAUACUACUACAAGUCCCCACCACCACCGAAGCAUGUAGAGGAGCCCCCAUACUACUACAAGUCUCCCCCACCACCAUCGCCAUCUCCUCCUCCACCAUACUAUUACAAAUCUCCUCCACCACCAUCACCAUCUCCUCCUCCACCAUACUACUACAAGUCCCCACCACCACCGAAACAUGUAGAGGAGCCCCCAUACAUCUACAAAUCUCCUCCACCACCAUCGCCAUCUCCUCCUCCACCAUACUACUACAAGUCCCCACCACCCCCGAAGCAUGUAGAGGAGCCCCCAUACUACUACAAGUCUCCCCCACCACCAUCGCCAUCUCCUCCUCCACCAUACUAUUACAAAUCUCCUCCACCACCAUCGCCAUCUCCUCCUCCACCAUACUACUACAAGUCCCCACCACCACCGAAACAUGUAGAGGAGCCCCCAUACAUCUACAAAUCUCCUCCACCACCAUCGCCAUCUCCUCCACCACCAUACUAUUACAAGUCCCCACCACCACCAGCCCAUUCCCCACCACCACCAUACUACUACAAGUCUCCACCACCACCAGUCCACUCCCCACCCCCACCAUACUAUUACAAGUCUCCACCACCACCUUCUCCUUCACCACCUCCACCAUACUAUUACAAGUCCCCACCACCACCAUCACCAUCUCCUC
rnacentral:lncRNA from 1 species